AAAUUUAACAGAGAUUAUCAAAAGUCUUUUUUAAUUUUGUUUUUAAGCAAUUAAAGCUGCUUCUUUUAACUCUCACUUUUAUAGCUUCCCCCUUAAACCCACAUUUUUAAACCCCCUACUUAAUAAUCUCUGAUUUUUUAACUAAAAGUUACAACAUAGAAAAACAAUUCUAAAUUUAAAUUAUAUUAUGCAUAAAUUAAAGAUUAGUACAUAAGAAUUAGCAUUUCAAGGGACAUCACUUCAAAUAUAGAUUGAAACAAUUUCACAUUUUAAAAAUUUACAUUCUAGUACAAUAAAAUAGAACAAACACACUGGUUACUAGACUAGUUAGUACAAUGAGACGUCAUUUGAUCUAAAGUUACUGAAAUCCAUUAUUAUUUGC
rnacentral:lncRNA from 1 species